GACGAACGCUGGCGGCGUGCUUAACACAUGCAAGUCGAACGGAAAGGCCCUGCUUUUGUGGGGUGCUCGAGUGGCGAACGGGUGAGUAACACGUGAGUAACCUGCCCUUGACUUUGGGAUAACUUCAGGAAAAUGGGGCUAAUACCGGAUAGGAGCUCCUGCUGCAUGGUGGGGGUUGGAAAGUUUCGGCGGUUGGGGAUGGACUCGCGGCUUAUCAGCUUGUUGGUGGGGUAGUGGCUUACCAAGGCUUUGACGGGUAGCCGGCCUGAGAGGGUGACCGGCCACAUUGGGACUGAGAUACGGCCCAGACUCCUACGGGAGGCAGCAGUGGGGAAUAUUGCACAAUGGGCGGAAGCCUGAUGCAGCAACGCCGCGUGCGGGAUAACGGCCUUCGGGUUGUAAACCGCUUUCGCCUGUGACGAAGCGUGAGUGACGGUAAUGGGUAAAGAAGCACCGGCUAACUACGUG
rnacentral:rRNA from 1 species